rnacentral:lncRNA from 1 species
ACCAACUGGAUCAUGUUCACCCAUUUUGCAGUGAUACAACGCCUUUCGUGUAUCAUACCUCUCCUGUCGAGCAUGCCCUUCAAACAAUUUCUUGAGAUGCUCGAUCAUCUCAUAAGCAUCCAUCAACUCAUGUUGCUUCUGAAGCUCAGCGUUCAUGGUUGCUAGCAUGACACAACUCACGUCCAAAGCAUCAUCUUGAUGCUUCUUGUAAG